GACGAACGCUGGCGGCGUGCUUAACACAUGCAAGUCGAACGAGACGAUUGAAAGCUUGCUUUCGAAAGUCGAGUGGCAAACGGGUGAGUAACGCGUAGACAACCUGCCUUUGAGAUGGGGACAACAGUUCGAAAGGACUGCUAAUACCGAAUGUUGUAUAUUUUCCACAUGGAAGAUAUAUUAAAGAUGGCCUCUAUUUAUAAGCUAUCGCUCAAAGAUGGGUCUGCGUCUGAUUAGCUGGUUGGUGGGGUAAGGGCCUACCAAGGCGACGAUGAGUAGCCGGUCUGAGGGGUGGAACGGCCACAUUGGGACUGAGAAACGGCCCAGACUACUACGGGAGGCAGCAGUGGGGAAUCUUCCACAAUGGACGAAAGUCUGAUGGAGCAACGCCGCGUGAGUGAAGAAGGGUUUCGGCUCGUAAAGCUCUGUUGUCGGGGACGAAUGUGCAGUAUUUGAAUAAAGUACUGCAAUGACGGUACCUGACGAGGAAGCCACGGCUAACUACGUGCCAGCCGCCGCCGUAA
rnacentral:rRNA from 1 species